GUCCCAGUUGUGCUCUCAGGGGUCACCAUUGCGGCUGGGAACGUCCAUUUCAUGUGCUCCUGGGUCCCCAUUGAUUGGCAUCCAGUUUGCGGAGUGGACGGGUGUGGACCACAGAAUGUCCUGAAACCAAACUUAAUGAAGCUAAUGAAUGCUUCUCAGCAAUCCAAGAGAAACAUAGAAGCAAAAUGUGGCAUUGUGAGUCCAGAAAGUACAGCCUUCUCUGAGGACAAUAAUUCUGAUGGUGAAAUUGAAGAUGUGGUUGAAACCAUUCCCGAACCAUCACCUGGAUUCCGGGGCUUCUCUCAUCCUGCCUUCCCAUCGCCUGAGCCUCUUCCACAACCUCUCAAGUCUCUUGCGGGCCUUGGUCUCACAAAGGCAAGAAGGAGCCACAAACCAGAGAUUGUAGACAAAGAAAGUGAUACAGAUAUUAUUGAAAGGGCUCCACAAGAGCAAAUAAAUCAUGACCGUUUGAGUUCUGUUGAUGGAACACACAGAAAUAAUAGAAGUGAUAUGACGUCAGCCUUAGGAUUGGGAGAAGAGGAAGAUAUAGAAUCACCUUGGGAUUCUGAGAGUAUCUCUGAGAGCCUUCCAUGGAAGUAUGUGGAUCUUUUAUCCGGAGCUGCUGGUCAAAGAGGAAAAAUUACGUUAAAUGGACAAGUAGAAGAUGUGUCUUAUAUACCUUCUUGCAUGAUUGGAUCGAGAAACUUUAAGAUGGCUAAACUAGAGGAGCCAAGACAUGAAGGCAUACCAGUAGCCCACAUGGAUUCUCCUGAGAAAUAUCCUAACAUGAAGCCUGCAGUCUUAGUGAGGGAUUCCACUCCUAAUAAAACAGUCGGAAUGAAGGAUCUACAAACAUCCACUUCAGCAGAACUAGACUUAAAAAUGACAUCAGAGGAAGAAGAAGAAAAACCUGUUGGAGAUGAAAAUAACCAUUCCCAGAUAUGUAAAAAUUUUGAAGAAGAAAAUAAGAAGCACAAAAGUAGUGAAGUGGAAGUAUCAGGCAAUGUAUGUGAUACUGCUGAUGAGAGUGGAUUGAUUCAGUAGGGAAAGAACAAGCAGGAGUUUGCUGCUAUGGAGAAUGAAGGUUCUGAUAGAAAUCCUGGCGUGCAUAGGAAGGAAGUAAAGAAAAAGGACAAUAGCAAGUGGACACCAGAAGAAUGUGUGAUUGCACCAAUAUUUGAAAAGACCGAUUCACUGACUGGUGGUCUGCUGCAUGUUAAUGAUGACAGCAUUUUAAGUGAAGUGGAUCAGGAUGAUGACAGGCCUGCAAAGAAAACAUCUAAUGAAAAUAACAAGGUACAGUCAAAAAUCAAAGAACAAAUUAAUUCUGUGGAUGACCUUGAUGACUUAACUCAGUCAUCUGAAACAGCUUCCAAGGAUGGUGAGUUGCUUUACUAUGAGAAUUCCAUGUUGCUAAGAUCAGAAGAUUCUGUUAGCUUGUUGAAAAUCUGGGGUAUGAUUCUUUCGUAUGACGGAUUAGUAGAACUUAAAAAAAAGCCACUGUGAACUGCUUAGAGGAAAGAUUAAAAAAUGGAAAGUAAGGUUCGUGGGCUACAGAAAGAGCUGUCAGAAACCAAAGAAGUAAAAUCACAGUUAGAGCAUCAGAAAGUGGAGUGGGAACGAGAGCUCGACAGCUUGAGAUUCACCUUAAAGCAAGAAGAAGAGUAGAGAAGAAAUGCUGAUAUGUUGUAUGAAAAAAUUAGGGAGUAGUUAAGAAAAAAAGACCAAUAUAGUAAAGAAGUUGAAAUGAAACAGCCACUUGAACUCACUCUUAGAGCACUAGAAAUGGAACUGAAGACUGUGAGAAAUGAUCUGAAUCAGGUUAUAGAAGAGCGAAAUGACACUCAGAAGCAGCUUUCUCGAGAACAGAAUGGCAGAAUGUUACAGGAUGGAAUUCUGGCCAAUCACCUUGACAAACAAAAAGAGACAGAAAUGGCUAAUAAGGAAAUGAACUCUGAGGUUUCUGAUAGUUGUGAAGAAGCAAAGGACCUGUUGUGCAAAAACCACGUGCUGCAGGAUGAACUUGCCAUGCCAAGACUGGAGAUAGAUGCAGUGAAAAAUCAGCACCAGGGAAAAGGAAAAGAAAUAUUUUGAUGACAUUGAAAUUGUAAAAGGAAAGAAUGAUAUCUUCAAAAGGCAAUAAAACUGAAUGAGGAAUCAUCAACAAAGACUACGUCCCAAUAUAUUGAGCCAGCUUAAUGCUCUGACAGCUGAGAAUACAAUGCUAAACUCUAAGCUGGAGAAUGAAAAGAAAGCAAAUGAAGACUGGAAAUGGAAGUGGAAUCCUACCGUUCUAGACUGGCUGCUGCCUCAGACAAUCAUGAUCAAAGUCAGACAUCAAAAAGAGACCUGGAAUUUGCCUUCCAGAGAGCAAGAGAUGAGUGGUUACACUUGCAAGACAAAAUGAAGACCGAUGUGGCUAACCUGAAAGAUAACAAGGAGAUGCUUUCCCAGCAACUUUCUAGAGUGGAAAGUAAGUUCAUUAACCUAGAAAUUAAGCUGCAUCACACGAGAUUCUCUCAGAGAAAAGAUUUUGAUAUUAGAAUGUGUCCAGAGAGACCUAAGCCAAACAGAGUGUCAAAAGCAGGAAACUGAACACACGUAUCAGAAUGAACAAGGCAAAGUGAAUAAAUAUAUUGGAAAGCAGGAAUCCUUAGAGGAGAAAUUAUCUUGACUCCAGAGUGAAAAUAUGUUGCUCCGACAGCAACUGGAUGAUGCACAAAACCGAGCCGACAGUAAAGAGAAGACGGUCAUUAGCGUCCAAGACCAGUUUCAGCAGAUCGUGAGAAAACUUAAGGCCAAACAUGAGAAACAAGGUCUGAUGCUGGAGGAAAGAAACAAGGAGUUAAUCAAGGAGUGUAUUCAUUUAAAAGAGAGAAUGUGUCAGUACGAAAAUGAGAAAGCAGAAAGAGAAGCGGUUGUGAGACAACUUCAACAAGAACUGGCUGAUACCCUCAGAAAGCAGUCUAUAUCAGAGGCGUCACUGGAGGUCUUGUCACGUUAUCGUGCCAACUUAGAAGUUGAGGCACAGGAUUUAAAGAAGAACUUAUGUCAACUCACAAGUCAGGAAUGUAUGAAAUUGCAAGAAGCACAGGAUCAACUUACAGAGGCUGUGAGAUGUGCUGAGAAAACACAGGAUCACGUCCAAAAGCUUGAAAUUGAAAAUGCCGAGUUACAAACUACAGUAAAAAAGCAAGCGGGCAAAAUUGAACAGCUUCAGAAAAACCUGUUAAGUACAAGAUUGUCUGAGGAUGAAAAGGAACAAUUAAAGAAAUACAUUGAAUUAAAAUAAUCUCUGGAAGAUAGCUUGGACCAAGAAAAGAAGAAAAACAGUGAGUUAGGAAAAAAGAUUACUGGAUUCAAGAAACUUUUAAAAAUGACAAGAAGGAAGUUAAAUGAAUAAGAAAAUGGAGAGCUUAGUUUCCAUGAAGAUUUAAAAACCAGUCAACAGAAAUGGAUAUUCAAAUUAAUAUGCUAAAACAUAAGGUAAUUUUUAAUCAACUGAUAAUCCUUGAAACUGCAUCUUCAAAAUGUCUGCACCUGGAUGCAAAAAAUCAAGUUCUUCGAGAGGAGUUAUUAUCUAUGAAAGGAAUGCAAAAGAAAUGUGAAAAACUAGAGAAGAAUAAAAAGAAGUCGGAGCAAGAAGUAGUGAACCUCAGAAGUCAUAUAGAAAUGAAUAUGAUAGAACACAGUCAAGUAGAGCAGUAUAAAGGGGAGAUUGAAGAAAGGGCGAGACAGGAUCUCGUAGAGAAAUUAAAGGAAGUCAACCUAUUUUGCAGGUUAAUUUAUACAAGCAGCUCUCAGGAGAACUUAGAGCAGUUACAAGAGAAGAAUAAUGCUUCCAUAAGAAGUCAGCUGGAACUCAGAAUUAAAUAAAGACUUGGAAUCUGAACUCUCCAAGGUGAAAACUUUGCAAGAAGAUUCUCAUAAAGCAGAAUUGGAAAAAUAUAAGCAACUCUACCUAGUAGAACUAGAAGUUAGAAAAUCAUUGGAAGGUAAACUAGACAGAUUGUGA